GACGAACGCUGGCGGCGCGCUUAACACAUGCAAGUCGAACGGAAAGGCCUGGUUUUCGUGGGGUGCUCGGGGGACGAACGUGUCGAACGCGCGAGAAACACGUGCCUUAGCCUUUGCCAUAACUUCAGUAAGCCUGGGCUACUAGGGGUAAUUCGCGCCUGCUGCGUAGUGUGGUGUGGGUAGUGUCGGCGGUUGGUCUUGUAGUCGGGGCUUAUCAGUCUGUCGGUGGGGUAGUGGCUUAGCUAGGCUUUGACGGGUAGGCGGACUGAGAGGGUGACCGGCCACAUCGGGACUGAGAUACGGGCCAGACUGCUACGGGAGGCAGCAGUGGGGAAGAUUGAGCAAUGGGCGGCAGCCUGAUGCAGCAACGCCGCGUGCGGGAUGACGGCCUUCGGGUGGUAAACCGCUUUCGCCUGGGACGAAGCGUGAGUGACGGUAAUGGGUAAAGAAGCACCGGCUAACUACGUG
rnacentral:rRNA from 1 species